AGGGAUGUAUAGGAGUUUACUAGAAGGAAGACGUAGAGAGAAAAGGACAAUCCAGGUAAAAGGAACCUUGCCAAGGAAUCUCUGAAGUUAAUUCUUUGUAGAUGGGCUCUUCUUCCUUCCAGGUGGGGAGUUAGUUGAGAUGUUUCUGUCCAGUUGAAAUCUGUUGUCCUAUACGUGUGGCAGGGUUUGGAUAAUCACUGUCUCUUUGCUGGAAGUGCCUGGCGUGGUCAGUUCCCAGGAGCUGCCGUGAGCUGGUGCAGACGGCAACGCCUUCGUACCCUGGGUGCCGCAGGCUCUGCUGCCAGAGCAAGCGGUGCGUUUGGAGGCUGCUCUGUGCCCGGCACUCCAGGAGAUGCGGAAGCAGGCAGAGGUGCGACAAGGGAGUCCUGGGGUGUGUGCUGUUGAGGAAACUGAGGCCCAGAGAUGUUAUUGUGACGUGCCCCAGGUCACCCAGCUGGGAAGGGGCAGAGCUGGGGCAAAAUGCAGCCCUCCGCCCCAGCACCCCCAGGAGAACAGCAGAGGACAACGUGAGACAGUGAGUGGCCCGGCGCCAGGACCCGCCAGAACCUGCCAGAACUCACUGCCUGUGGGACGUGCUUAGCCUGCAGGUGCCCUGGCAGGCCCAGUGCUGCCUGGUAAAAGGGAGAGAGCCUGUCCUUCCUGGAGGAGGCGGCACAUGGAGCUGUGCCUGGCAAGGGGAGGAGAACGUUCAGCUCGGCUCUGCGGCAGGGACGGGCCAGGCGGCCUGGGUCCAACCCCAGCCCGUCCCUUAUGACUUACAUGACCUUGCGCGACUCACGCGACCUCUCUGUAACUCGGUUUCCCCCUCCCUAAAAUGCAGAUGGUUAUAUCCUAGUCCUCACCUGUGGGCUUAAUGUGACCCGUCGUGUGGGCUGUGUGGAUGGGGAUGCUGCCCUCUUUGGGGCCAGACUCUGUUGAAACCUUACUUGGUACGGGUUGGGCUUACGUUAUCCGGAAAUCCGGAAUCCAAAACACCCCAAAAUAGGAAACUUCCUGAACGCCGACGGGAUGGCACCCUGGAAAAUUCUACACAUACGUACUUAACACAGACUUUGUUUCAUGCCAAACUUAUUAAAAAUACUGUAUAAAAUUUC